GGGCAGGUGUCUGAGUGGUCGAAAGAGCACGAUUGGAAAUCGUGUGUACGUCAAAAGCGUACCGAGGGUUCGAAUCCCUCCCUGUCCGUCA
rnacentral:tRNA from 1 species